AACGAACGCUGGCGGCAUGCCUAACACAUGCAAGUCGAACGAAGUCUUCGGACUUAGUGGCGCACGGGUGCGUAACGCGUGGGAAUCUGCCCUUGGGUACGGAAUAACUCAGAGAAAUUUGUGCUAAUACCGUAUAAUGUCUUCGGACCAAAGAUUUAUCGCCCAAGGAUGAGCCCGCGUAAGAUUAGCUAGUUGGUUGGGUAAAAGCCUACCAAGGCGACGAUCUUUAGCUGGUCUGAGAGGAUGAUCAGCCACACUGGGACUGAGACACGGCCCAGACUCCUACGGGAGGCAGCAGUGGGGAAUAUUGGACAAUGGGCGAAAGCCUGAUCCAGCAAUGCCGCGUGAGUGAUGAAGGCCCUAGGGUUGUAAAGCUCUUUUACCAGGGAUGAUAAUGACAGUACCUGGAGAAUAAGCUCCGGCUAACUCCGUG
rnacentral:rRNA from 1 species